ACAUGGACAGCUGCAGUGACAAAAAAUGUUAUGCUCAUGGUAAUUUAUAUAUUUACCGAGUAAAGAUUAGCCCUACGGUUAAACUAAUAAAUAGAACAUUUCAAAUUGCUAGUAUUGGAAACCUGAAAAUUAAGAACUAUGAGUUACCACUGAAACACUGUGCUUUGUGGUAUAUUGGUAAGCCUGAAAUGAAGCAUUUGAUUUUUUUCGGUGCUAUCCCAAGAGUCAGUAGUUACACAGCCUUUGAGGUUUUUCACUGAAAGAUUUUAAGGUCUAUUUUUUUUCCUUUAAUUAUGUUUUAGUGCAGUGGAAAUGCCCCCAAACUUUCAGCAUGUGCAAAACCAGAGGUAGAACAAAGCACAACAAUGUUUUUCAUGUUGUUUACAGGUUUGUUAUAUAUGAAAGGGAUUCUUUUAGAAAAGAAGUACCCCAAAAGUGAUUAACUUGACAGGUAUUGUGAUAUAUCCCCCCCCCAAAAAGCCAAAUUCUCUACUCACCCAGAUUUUUUUUUUUUCUUCUUCUUUUUUAAUGUAACAAAUCCUCCACAAAUACAAAUCUAAAGACAUUUACAGAACUCCAGCUGUGUAAUUCCUGUUUUGAGUAAUUUUCUCCAA